GUGCCAGCCGCCGCGGUAAGACAGAGGGUGCGAACGUUGCUCGGAAUCACUGGGCGUAAAGCGCGCGUAGGCGGACCGGAAAGUCGGUUGUGAAAUCCCUGGGCUCAACCCAGGAACUGCAUCCGAAACUCCCGGUCUCGAGUGACGGAGAGGAUAGUGGAAUUCCCGGUGUAGAGGUGAAAUUCGUAGAUAUCGGGAGGAACACCAGUGGCGAAGGCGGCUAUCUGGACGUCCACUGACGCUGAGGCGCGAAAGCGUGGGGAGCAAACAGGAUUAGAUACCCCCGUAGUCC
rnacentral:rRNA from 1 species